rnacentral:rRNA from 1 species
AUUGAACGCUGGCGGCAGGCUUAACACAUGCAAGUCGAACGAGUGGCGGACGGGUGAGUAAUGCUGGGGAAUCUAGCUUCUGGAGGGGGAUAACUACGGGAAAAUGUAGCUAAUAACGCGUACAACAGGAUGAGACCAAGUGGGAAUGGGUAGGUGGGGAGGUAAAGGCGCACCAAGACGACGAUCUCUAGCUGGUCUGAGAGGAUGACCAGCCACAUCGGGACUGAGCCACUACCCAGACUCCGACGGUAGGCAGCAGUGGGGAAUAUUGCGCAAUGGGUGCAACAUGACGCAGCCAUGCCGCGUGAAGGAAGAAGGCCUUCGGGUUGUAAAGUUCUUUCGGUAGCGAGGCGUUAACUACAGAAGAAGCACCGGCUAACUCCGUGCCAGCAGCCGCGGUAAUAC